AAUGAACGCUGGCGGCAUGCCUUACACAUGCAAGUCGAACGGCAGCAUGACCUAGCUUGCUAGGUUGAUGGCGAGUGGCGAACGGGUGAGUAAUGCAUCGGAACGUGCCUUUUAGUGGGGGAUAACGUAGCGAAAGUUACGCUAAUACCGCAUAUUCUCUGAGGAGGAAAGCAGGGGACCUUCGGGCCUUGCGCUAGAAGAGCGGCCGAUGUCGGAUUAGCUAGUUGGUGAGGUAAAGGCUCACCAAGACAACGAUCCGUAGCGGGUCUGAGAGGAUGAUCCGCCACACUGGGACUGAGACACGGCCCAGACUCCUACGGGAGGCAGCAGUGGGGAAUUUUGGACAAUGGGCGCAAGCCUGAUCCAGCCAUGCCGCGUGAGUGAAGAAGGCCUUCGGGUUGUAAAGCUCUUUCGGCUGGGAAGAAAUCGCACCCUCUAAUACAGGGUGUGGAUGACGGUACCAGCAUAAGAAGCACCGGCUAACUACGUG
rnacentral:rRNA from 1 species